CACCUCUCAGGGUUGCACCUGGAGAGUUUCCAGUACUCUACCAGUUUUGACUACGGGAGGAAGAGUCAAGCAGAAGCCUAUCCAUUCCUUUCCUAGCUUGGCCAUUGACGAGUGAGUGGAAGAUAAUCUGUGACAAAU